AAGUCGUAACAAGGUCUCCGUAGGUGAACCUGCGGAGGGAUCAUUAACACGUUGUUUACUCGUAAACAUCGUUCCAAUACCAACCAAAACGUGAACCAACCCCGACCUGCGCGAUGGCAUGCUUGGAUUCCAGAACCUUUUGUGGUGGCAGUACGGCGCCGCAUGUGCUUGCACAUGUUGCACCGUUGCUGCGGUUCUAGUGUUUCCACGAAUUGGUACGCUUGCGUACCUUUUCAGGCAGCCAUCUCGUCAGGCAUUCUUCUGACUCCACACAGUACCCAAACCCAUAUCACCCCCAAUACGCCAAUUGACUGAAAGCGCACUGCCUCGUGCCUGUGGCUCACUAGUGAGUUGCAUGUACGUGUGGUGUCGAGAUAAAUCCAACUGUGAGCACAACUCUUAGCAAUGGAUAUCUCGGUUCUC
rnacentral:misc_RNA from 1 species